AGGGAAGGAAGCCGGGGCAUCUAGCGGACAAACCGGUGUGGAUGCACGUUGAAGGGUUUACUUUAAAGGUAUUUAGGUGGGUCUCAUGGAUGGCGAUCAAGUGAUUUAAUGAAGAACCGAACACUCCAUUUUGAAGCUUCCGCUAUGUUUUGAACUUGUUAAUUAGUUGUUCUUGGGUUGUAAACAAAUUCUUAAACGACUUAGUACGUUCUACCUUAGUCAUUAGUUGACUAAGGCGUAUAAUAUUUUUGAAACUUAUGUUAAGCUAUCAUCUUUUGGUAUAAAUUAGCGAUUAAUUCGAGUAUAAA